rnacentral:sRNA from 1 species
UUUAAAGGUGGUUACUGGUAGAGAAUGUGAAGGAUAACGUUGCGUCAGCAACGGCCCGAAGGGCGAGACGAAGUCGAGUCAUCCUGCACGACCCACCA